UGAAAACACUCCAGGAGAGAGGGGUUGCAUAAAUCAAUGCAAACUUGUCCACAGAAGGCAAUUAUACUCUCAGAGUGGACUGUACACCACUUCUUUUCCAGUUGGUAUAUAAACUGACAAAAGAGUGGAGGAAUCAGACAUCAUUCAUCUGGAGAAAUGCUAUUGGUUGCUGAAGGCUCAAUCGCGAACUGGAUGAUUUGAUUUAGAGACAUUUGGCCCAUUGGUUUCACCACCAAUUCGUCCAUCUCUGAGUGAAGGUGGGAAUCCUUCUAUUUUCUACAAAUGUUCUUCGCUAAACACGUGAGCCCUGUUCUACCUUUGGAGCCUUGCGUAUGUCGGUUUACCUUUCUGCACCUGAAUAUUCUCAUAUAUAAACUCAAUUUGACCAAGACAGUUGUUAUGAAACUGCUCCAGUGUGGUGCCUCAGCGUCUGGUGCAGGGGUCAGGGUAAUGGACAUUGAAUAGGCAAAGCUCUAGCUUCCACGCAUGACCCCACCUCUUCCUCAGCUGAGGAGUCUCUACUGUAUUUCUUUUAUAUAGAAGAAGUUUCCACUGCUGUAUCCUUCCCCCACCCUUAAAAAAUUAGGAAACCACUGGACUUGACCAUCUCUAAGGUCCCCACUUAGCUC